CUUUGGCCGGAACCAAUAUGCCUGAGCGGCAGGCGCUGGCAACUCUGCAACCAGUUUUCUCACAGGAGAACAUGUUAGCACAUGUAAACUAUCUUGCCGGAGAAGAUCUAAAAGGUAGAGGGCUCGGAAGUGCGGAAUUGGAUCUGGCCGCGGAUUAUAUCGCCGAGCAAUUUAAAAAAGUUGGUCUGCAACCGGGAUCUGACGACGGAUCGUAUUUUCAAACCUGGAAUGCGGUAGUAGGUAAAGAGAUGGUCGCAAAAGAUAUAAAAAAUGUAAUUGGUGUGAUACCUGGAACGAAUCCGUCAUAUUCAGGUGAAUCGGUGGUGGUCUGUGCGCACUAUGAUCAUCUUGGU
rnacentral:rRNA from 1 species